rnacentral:lncRNA from 1 species
AUUUUAUUAUAGGGUUAAGUACUUUUACUUUUUUACCCUUUUCAAUUAGUCAAAAAUUGGUUAAUGUUUAAUUUUAUUGGUCAACUAACGGUCAAACGGACGGUUUCCAUCCAUUUAGACUUCGGGUGCUGAUUUUUGAAAGGUUUGGUACCUCCAGUGGUACAAACUAAAUGUUUGGGCAAAUUCUGCUAAUAAACGAAAGGUUUGGUAUCUCGGCUGCAAUUUUCCCGUUUAAUUAUAUACAUUUGAUUCCCCUCAGGUCUUUGUUAAAAUCGAAUAACCUGAUGCAGUACCAGAUCAGUAGGCGGGCUAUGAUGUUGAUUUUUAAGUCAUUUAUCCAUUUAACAUUUUUUGGUUUAUGGUUAAUAAUAAAUUACGCAAGGAAAUGAGGGACUAUGUUGUAAUACUAUUAAAGUUUACACUAGGCCCCAUUUGUUUCUCAUUUUUGUAAGAAUGAGAAUGAAAAAUAUAGGCAUUACGGGCUCCACAUAAGGGAUAGAAAUUCAAAUUGGUGACUUGAUGUGAAGUAUAUGGUCAUAUUUUUCAUUUUAAUGGGGAAAAAAUGAGAAACAAACGGGGGCUAGGUCUAAAAUAAGUUGCAGCUAACUCUUUUAUUCUAAGAUGACUUUAAUUUUGGAAAAACAUAAUAUAGAGAGAUUUCUCCAAUUCUUUGAUCCAAAAUGGUAUUCGUGAGCGAAUCAACAUCUAGUGAUCAAGUGUCAUUGUUUUUGCUUGAAUAUGUCUGUGUGAGUUGGUAUCAGAUACAUCCACGUUUCUGAUACACAUGAGUUGGUGUUCAUGAAGCCUUCUUGGAUGAGAUUCACUAUGGAGGACAUGAACAAAUCUCCGGUUUAAUCGAUGUGUUAGAGCAACAUAUGGAGAUGUUGAAGGCCCAGUAAUCGGUAUUUUUGAAUGCUGUUGGAGGUGAUCGGCAUCAUAGAGGCAACAAUAGGGAUCAACAAAACAGAGUUGAAGGCGUGGUGCCGCGACAACUGGUGUAGAAUCAGACUUGGGGGACUCUAAUGGUGACGACGAUCCUUUUGUCCCUUUCAAUCCGGAACAAUAAAUGGACGUUAAUUUAAGUGAAGAUUAUAACGAUCUACUAAUCUUUGAUGAGGAGCCUGAUGUUUAUAAUGAGAAGGAGGUGAUAAGUCUUUUGAGUUGUUUACUAGAACGAUGUUUAUUUAAAGAAGCCAAGAAUUGUCUUUAUGUGGAAUGGGAUCCAGGUUGAAUUCAAUGUGACAGUUGGAAAUUAUAGGUUGUCUUCAAAAUGUAAUUUUUCUAUUUCCUAUUAUUUCUAUUCCAAGUACCGUGUUUGCAAAGAUUGGGAAGCUUUGUUCAAUUUAUUGCGGCUCUAACUCUAUUUCACAUCUCAGCCAAGAUGAUGUUGACGUGUCAUAAAAAAAUCCAAUUUGAAGGCGUGCAAUGUUAACAAUGAGUGCUUUUCUUUAAGUGGCUUGGUUAGGUUUGAGAUUCAAAGAUCAUAUAAUGAAAUUAAUAGAGCAGUUAUAGAUAAUAUCGUGGUUUCCAUUGCAAUUCAAUAUUUGGUUGAUGAGUUUACUCGCUUCUGUUUGGCUUCGAUUAAACUUAAAAUUUUAAUAGAUUUUGACAAGAUAUGAUGAAAUAUGUAAUUGAAAAAGUUGAUAUAAGUUGUAGAACCCAUGAAAUCAUUGAAAUGUAUGAUUGAAAAUGAGUUCGGGGGAAAAUGAGUUUUCUAAAAUGGGAGCCAAAGAGGGGCAUAUAUCUUUCCUGUGGAUUUUCCGAGUGGAAUGCAUCAUAUUACAAGGCAUAUGAUGAAGAUACGGCAUAAGAUUCAAAGGUGAAUAGUCCUCAACUGGGAGAGGAUGAUGCAAUGCCAAAUCCGCAUGCAGGUUUCAAUCUUAGAUGAUUUCUAAGUUAUUUAUUUAUUUAAAUUUUGUUGCUUUAUUUAGUUAUGCUUUAUGAUAAUUUCAUUGGGAACUGAGGGACAAAGUUGUUUAGGUCCAAAAUAAGUAGCCACCAACUGUUUCAUUGUAGGAUUGACUUUGAUUUUGAUAAAAU